rnacentral:rRNA from 1 species
AUUAUGGUAAUAUAAAAGGUAGAUUACAAAGGCGAAAUAGUUCAAUAUCCUUAGAAUUAAACAUUUCAAAAAAAGGUAAAAAGGCAAAGUUAAAUCAGUUAGAACAACAAAAAUUGAGCCAGUAUAUUGGUGAAAUGAAUGUUGUUAUGUUUGCCCCAGAAGAUUUAAAUCUUGUAAAAGGAAGCCCUCAAGUACGAAGACGCUUUUUGGAUAUGGAACUUGGACAAAUAGCUCCGGUCUAUUUGUAUGAAUUAAGUCAAUAUCAAAAGGUACUCACGCAACGAAAUCAUUUACUUAAGAAGAUGCAAGGGAAUAGUAAAAAUGAGGAAACGAUGUUGGAUGUAUUUACACUUCAACUUAUUGAGCAUGGUGCAAAAAUUUUGCGAAAACGUUUUGAGUUUUUGCAUUUACUACAAGAAUGGGCUGCUCCAAUUCAUCGCGGAAUUAGCAGGGGAUUAGAGGAGU